rnacentral:rRNA from 1 species
CCUAAAUACUCCCUGGUGACCGAUAGCGAACAAGUACCGUGAGGGAAAGGUGAAAAGCACCCCGAUGAGGGGAGUGAAAUAGACCUGAAACCGAAUGCCUACAAGCAGUCGGAGCCUCUUAUGGGGGUGACGGCGUACCUUUUGUAUAAUGGGUCAGCGAGUUUCUGUUCGCGGCAAGCUUAAGCCGGUAGGUGUAGGCGCAGCGAAAGCGAGUCUGAACAGGGCGUUCAGUCGCGGGCAGAAGACCCGAAACCGAGUGAUCUAGCCAUGGCCAGGCUGAAGGUGGGGUAACACCCACUGGAGGGCCGAACCCACGCCUGUUGAAAAAGUCGGGGAUGAGCUGUGGCUAGGGGUGAAAGGCCAAUCAAACUCGGAGAUAGCUGGUUCUCCGCGAAAUCUAUUGAGGUAGAUCGUCAUGUGUUUACCCCGGGGGGUAGAGCACUGGAUGGGCUAGGGGGUCCCAAAGACUUACCAAACCUAACCAAACUCCGAAUACCCGGGAGUAUAGCGUGGCAGACAGACGGCGGGUGCUAAGGUCCGUCGUCGAGAGGGAAACAGCCCAGACC